CCCUCAGCGAACCCUUGU
rnacentral:snRNA from 1 species